UCAGUCCAUGGAAACCAGACUGAGGGGAGUCAGAGGGAUCUUGUAAUAAAUUAGAGGACACUCGUUACCUGCUUCCAAGGGGCAUUGUCAGAAUAGAAGCAGCACUGGCUAAAGCACUGUUCCCGGAAAGAGAACAGGAUGAAAAUAAGGCAUCCAGGAGCCCAGCUGGAGCUGUUGAACCUUCAGGAGCUCGAGCGAGUUGCUGGAGGGAACUCGGGCCAUCUGUCCUGCUGCUGGAGAGGAGGAGUCUGGCCGGCUGGCAGCGACCUUAAGCCGUGAGCAAAUCGGCAGUGGGACGUGGAAGGCUUAGUGAGGAAUCUCAUGCUGAAUCGCAGGCCAUCACGG